UACGUAGGGACCAAGCGUUGUUCGGAUUUACUGGGCGUAAAGAGCGUGUAGGCGGCCAGAUAAGUCCGCUGUGAAAUCUCGAGGCUCAACUUCGAGCUGUCGGUGGAAACUGUCUGGCUAGAGUCCGGAAGAGGAGAAUGGAAUUCCUGGUGUAGCGGUGAAAUGCGCAGAUAUCAGGAAGAACACCCGUGGCGAAGGCGGUUCUCUGGGACGGUACUGACGCUGAGACGCGAAAGCGUGGGGAGCGAACAGG
rnacentral:rRNA from 1 species